GUCCCUGUAGCGCAAUGGAUAGCGCGUUGAAUUUCUAAACCAAAGGUAGUGGCUUCGGAUCCCACCUGGGAUG
rnacentral:tRNA from 1 species